GUGCUUGCUUUGGCAGCACAUAUACUAAAAUUGGAACGAUACAGAGAAGAUUAGCAGGGCCCCUGCACAAGGAUGACACGCAAAUUCAUGAAAUGUUCCAUAUUUUU
rnacentral:snRNA from 1 species